CAGAGGAGCAACUGCCUGUAAUAAAGAAGUUGAGAAUGUGACUAGAGCAGCCUGGAAAUGAUUUCCAUUUUCUACUGGAAAAUGAACAACUUGAAAGAAGUACCCCAUUGUUUCACAUAUUCUUUGAAGUUUUGAGAGUGGGAAAACAGUGGCGUGACCUGCAAUAAACUGGCAAUCGCAGCAUCCCAGUCAUCUGCAAACAAUAUACAAAGA